rnacentral:rRNA from 1 species
CCUACGGGGGGCAGCAGUGAGGAAUAUUGGUCAAUGGACGAGAGGCUGAACCAGCCAAGUCGCGUGAGGGCAGACGGCCCUACGGGUUGUAAACCACUUUUGUCGGGGAGCAAAGAGAGUCACGUGUGACGCAUUGAGAGUACCCGAAGAAAAAGCAUCGGCUAACUCGGUGCCAGCAGCCGCGGUAAUAAGGAGGAUGCUAGCUGUCUCCGGAUUGAUUGGGUUUACAGGGUGCGCAGGCGGAGGUGCAAGUCAGCGGUCAAAUUGCGGGGCUCAACCCCGUACUGCCGUUGAAACUGCAUCCCUUGAGUGCGCGAGAAGUAUGCGGAAUGCGUGGUGUAGCGGUGAAAUGCAUAGAUAUCACGCAGAACUCCGAUUGCGAAGGCAGCAUACCGGCGCGCAACUGACGCUCAUGCACGAAAGCGUGGGUAUCGAACAGGAUUAGAUACCCCAGUAGUC